GGGCAUGUGGCGUAGUUNNCGCCCCCUUAGCAUGGGGGAGGUCUUCGGUUCGAAUCCGGACUUGUCCA
rnacentral:tRNA from 1 species